GGACUACCGGGGUAUCUAAUCCUGUUUGCUCCCCACGCUUUCGUGCAUGAGCGUCAGUGUUAUCCCAGGGGGCUGCCUUCGCCAUCGGUAUUCCUCCACAUCUCUACGCAUUUCACUGCUACACGUGGAAUUCUACCCCCCUCUGACACACUCUAGCUAUGCAGUCACAAAUGCCAUUCCCAGGUUAAGCCCGGGGAUUUCACACCUGUCUUACAUAACCGCCUGCGCACGCUUUACGCCCAGUAAUUCCGAUUAACGCUUGCACCCUACGUAUUACCGCGGCGGCUGGCAC
rnacentral:rRNA from 2 species